rnacentral:rRNA from 1 species
AGAAUCAACGCUGGCGGCGUGCCUAACACGUGCAAGUCGAACGAGAAAGUGGAGCAAUCCAUGAGUAAAGUGGCGCACGGGUGAGUAACACGUGACUAACCUACCCUUGAGUGGGGGAUAACCUAGAGAAAUCUGGGCUAAUACCGCAUAAUACCUUCGGGUCAAAGGAGCAAUUCGCUUAAGGAGGGGGUCGCGGCCGAUUAGUUAGUUGGCGGGGUAAUGGCCCACCAAGACUGUGAUCGGUA